GGUAAAAUGGCUGAAAAUUAGGCGAUAAAUUGUAAAUUUAUUUAUGAGAUAAAUCUCUUUUACU
rnacentral:tRNA from 1 species